UACGUAGGGUGCGAGCGUUGUCCGGAAUUAUUGGGCGUAAAGAGCUCGUAGGCGGUUUGUCGCGUCGACUGUGAAAACCUGGGGCUUAACUCUGGGCCUGCAGUCGAUACGGGCAGACUUGAGUUCGGUAGGGGAGACUGGAAUUCCUGGUGUAGCGGUGAAAUGCGCAGAUAUCAGGAGGAACACCAAUAGCGAAGGCAGCUCGCUGGGACGGUACUGACGCUAAGGCGCGAAAGCGUGGGGAGCGAACAGG
rnacentral:rRNA from 1 species